UACGGAGGGUGCAAGCGUUGCUCAGAAUUACUGGGCGUAAAGCGCACGUAGGCGGGUUGUUAAGUUGGGGGUGAAAUCCUGGAGCUCAACUCCAGAACUGCCUCCAAAACUGGCGAUCUUGAGUUCGGGAGAGGUGAGUGGAACUGCGAGUGUAGAGGUGAAAUUCGUAGAUAUUCGUAAGAACACCAGUGGCGAAGGCGGCUCACUGGCCCGAUACUGACGCUGAGGUGCGAAAGCGUGGGGAGCAAACAGG
rnacentral:rRNA from 1 species